AGAUGAGGCUGCAUAUCAGAGUCCUCCAGCCUCCACAGCUAAACUCCCAGACCCUUCCGGGCCCGGAGGGAAGGGCUCUGGAGCUGAGAGUCAUCUACUGAGCCUCCCAGGGACCCCCCCCCAUUCAGAUGCCCAGACACUCUCCUGGGGAGAGAAGCCCAAAUUGCAAAAGUCACCACGACUUCUGAUGCUAAAAUGGAACCCAGGAAAAACAUCAAGCAAGAAAAAUCCAUCUCAACUGAUAUUCUCAACUUGCGAGGAGACGGAGCUGGCAGGCAACUCCAGAAAGACAUCCCAUCUAGGGAGCAAAGAUGAAUAACACAACUGGCAAACACUUAGCUGCGGACAGAGUGUGUUUUGACACAGACAUUCACCUCCUUUGAUGCUGAGGACUAGGCUAUGAGACCAAGUCUAAUUGAUGCACAAAGGAUGCAUUGAAAGCCUACUGCAUGCUUAGAGGAAGCCAAAACUGUGAAGACCACAAGCCAAGAACUUUAUUGAGCUCUUACUGGGUACUAGACACUUCGCUUAACACUGUAUCUCUAUUUAUUCCUCCAAACUUAUCUCUCCCGUAAGAUUGUGGGCUCCUUGAAGGCAAUGUCUAUUUUAGUCCUCUUUGUCCCUACCAU